UACGUAGGGUGCGAGCGUUGUCCGGAAUUAUUGGGCGUAAAGAGCUCGUAGGUGGUUCGGUAAGUCGGAUGUGAAAUCUCCAGGCUCAACCUGGAGGGGUCAUUCGAUACUGCCGUGACUAGAGUUCGGUAGGGGAGUGUGGAAUUCCUGGUGGAGCGGUGAAAUGCGCAGAUAUCAGGAGGAACACCCGUAGCGAAGGCGGCACUCUGGGCCGAUACUGACACUGAGGAGCGAAAGCGUGGGGAGCGAACAGG
rnacentral:rRNA from 1 species